rnacentral:rRNA from 1 species
CGUGUAGGCGGCUUGGUAAGUCAGAUGUGAAAGCCCAGGGCUCAACCCUGGAAGUGCAUUUGAUACUGCCGAGCUUGAGUAUGGGAGAGGAGAGCGGAAUUCCCAGUGUAGAGGUGAAAUUCGUAGAUAUUGGGAGGAACACCCGUGGCGAAGGCGGCUCUCUGGACCAAUACUGACGCUGAGACGCGAAAGCGUGGGGAGCAAACGGGAUUAGAUACCCUGGUAGUCC